UACGUAGGGUGCAAGCGUUGUCCGGAAUUAUUGGGCGUAAAGAGCUCGUAGGCGGUUUGUCGCGUCUGCUGUGAAAACGCGAGGCUCAACCUCGCGCCUGCAGUGGGUACGGGCAAACUAGAGUGCGGAAGGGGCUACUGGAAUUCUCGGUGUAGCGGUGAAAUGCGUAGAUAUCGAGAGGAACACCUGCGGCGAAGGCGGGUAGCUGGGCCGACACUGACGCUGAGGCGCGAAAGCCAGGGGAGCGAACGGG
rnacentral:rRNA from 1 species